CUCCUUUGCCUGCUUGCUGCGUGAGACUGAGUAACUGCUAGAUCCUUGGACUUCCAUUCACAGCUGCGACUGAACAAUUGUUGGGAAUUCGGCUGCCGACUAGACAGGGUCUCAUGUUGGCUCGGAGAUUGGCUGCGCGUAGGCUCAGUAGACUGGACGGCAAGCCCCAGGAAUCUCCUAAGAGACGCUAUCCCAGGAUGGUCUUGAACUCACAGAGCUUUCUUCCUCAGCCUCCUAAGUGCUAGGAUGACAGGAUCUCACAUCCCACAGAUUCCACAUGGCACUGGGAUUUGCCUAAUUCCAUAUGGAAGGAGUUUAUUAAAGGCGGUUUUACACUUGUGCUCAUCUCGUCGUGGCCUCCGAGUGCAAGAAUUACAGCCAUCCAGCCUGGUGCCCAGCCUUUGACACGGUUGUUAAGGUGGAACAAGGUAAAGUCCAGAGAAAGGUUCUGGUUGACAAGAACCGCCUAAGCCAGCCACCAAAGAGACCAG
rnacentral:lncRNA from 1 species